UGCUUAAUGUAAGCUAUGCACUUCUCUGCCUCUAUUUAUUUUGCUGGAUAUUACUGCACAACACAUAGAAGUGGAAUAAGUACAAAUUAUCUAGGUAAAGGCAAGCUAAAGUACAAUGUUUCUGCUAGUCCUGAGCAUCUGAAGUAGGACCUGUUUAAGGUGUUUCACAGGUAACAUAUAAUUGGAGGAGCACCAUCUGCUGGCCCAAAGAAUCCUGAAGCCUUGUGAUACAGAGUGUACAUCUCCUCCUCCUUCCUCCCAUACUACUUUCUUUUAAUAUUUUUUUUUUUCCCUCUCCUCCAAUGAGGGCUGUUUGGUGUUGUCCAAGUAGGUUUCAAAGUAAAUUUUUGAAAGGAAAUGGGUAUCUCCUAAAAUACAACAGGUUGGCUAAAUGACAGCUCUUAGGCCUUCUUCCCUUGGUGACUAUGAUGCUACAUGUAUCUUAUUUAAGGAAUACAAAAAUGAUUUCACAGAACAUUAGUUGCUUCUGUAUCCCUUUGAGAAGAUAAAUUGUCUUAAAUGGCUCAAAAUUCUUGCUGAUAACCUAGCUCUGUGCAUUUAGAAAACAACACAAGUAUCCUCUAAAAUUACAUUUAUUUUUAACUGGGAAAAGUAGGCAGCCAGCCUGAAUUUGGUGUAAGAAGUGAUGUUUCUUGAGAGUAAACAACAGGUAAAUGCAACCUUGCAAUGAUUUCUAGUGAAGCAGCAUUUACUUACCUUACAGUUUGCAGAAAUUAACAGAAAAGACCAGGACAAGAAGUCUGUCUCAUGUGUAAACAGAUCCAAGGGCUCCUGGGUCUUUGAGUAGCUCAUUGAGGACUUGAUCUGUAGCUUGCUCGCUGAGCUUCCUGAGUGGAAGAUACCUGGUUGAUCGAGAUUUAAAGUAUUAAUACUAAAUAUCUAAAUGUUUUUGAAUGCCUAAAAGGUGGCCUGAAUGGCUAGUAGAGCUCACAGUGCUUAAGUAAUAAUUUUGCAAAAGCUGUGACAGAAGUUUUUUGUUUGUUUGUUUUGUUUUUUCCUAUGGUAGUAGUUGAAAUGCUGAAAUUAACGUUGGCUGUUGCCAAAGUUCGUAAGAGGUAGUUGUGAAUUUAAAGGAAAGAAUGCCUGUGAUCAAUGAGGGAGCUGCUGUGUAUGUAUCAUAGCGACAUAAGUGUUUCUGGCUCUGUGUUUCUAAACACAGCUGUAACGAGCAUAAAUUAAAGCAGUAAUUACUCUGUGGUUUAAAGUUGUCAUUCUUCUUGCUUGAGGUAAGCAGUUCACUUUUAUAAUUUGCACAAACACAUUGAAGAUUACAUACUCUGGGAAUUAGUGUGGUAAAUCACUGCAGUAUUUUGUGGAAGUCUUUUGGAAAAUAAUUUAUUAAAAUAUCUCAUAUUCCAUGAUUUUAAAUAUUAUGUUUGGAAAAAAGCGUCUCAAUAGAAAUCAUAGGGAAAAAGUAGAUUUGCUCUUCAUACCAUUGUGUUCGCUUUGACAUAAUUUUUGUAGUAUGUUUUGAUCUUUCCCGUGAAUUUCUCCUGAAGUCCUAACCUUUCUUCUGUGUUCUUUUUAACAUCACUUACAGAAGUUUUAUAAAACAAACUCUUCUCUAAGUAGUGUUGUUUAUAGCCGCCUUGUCUUGUAUGGCGUGUAUGCAAACAUACUUGCCUAGAAGCAGUAGAAAUGUUUUUUCAGUGAUGCAUAUAUUUGUAUUCACUGCUUGCUCACCUUGGAUUCAACUGUGCAGGUGUUGUAGAGCAAAAACCUGUGGGUGCUAGCAAUGCGCUCUCACCACCGAUGCUGGUGUGACUCGACUACGUGCAGAGCUGUUGUGUCUUAUGGUACAACUUUGUGUCAUCAUUGUAAUUUAAUAUUUCAAAUAAAAUGUCAUGGUAGCCAACCAAGCUUGACUGCAUAAUCAAUGUAAUGUUCAAUAGACUGCUCCAUCUGGGGUAAUAUGCUGUCAUUUUAAGUAUUCCAGUGAGUAGUAACUUGCAUACUGAACAAAAAUAACAGUUGAGACGGAUCACCUGAAGCUAAUGUAUGAUAUCCCAAGGGUGUGGGGAGUCUUUAGUACUGCAGUUGUUCAGCUGCCAUGCGUUAGCUUUUCCAACUUGAGCAAAGACUUCAAGCAGAAGUUUCUAUCGCACUUCAAUAGCUCCAGAGGGAGUCAUAACCAAGCAAGUCAUUUACUGAGUAAGAUUCAUGCUCCAUGACUGCAUCAGUAGGUUGUGUAUGUGUUGGAGGUCCAAAACUCAAAGCUGAUUGCGAAUAGCAAAAUGCCUGGUUUAACCUUUUUUUGCAGCCUUUGCAGACAUAAAGCUGUUAUCCUGCAAGUAGGUCUAACUUUCUGCAGAAAGUUAGACAUUAAAAGCUACUUUUUAUGUAACCACAGAAAAAUGAGCUGUCACUGAUUCGAUAACAUCUUAUCUCCACUUCUCAUGUUUAAAUGGAACAGUCAGUUCUCGAUAUAUAUUUGUCUUUUGCAGGAAGAAUCCCAUUCACUUUCAGCAGUUCAGUCACCCUAAUGAUGAUGACUAUCACGAAACUGAGAUCGUAACUCAGGAUAACAAUGAUAACCGGCCUGAAUGUCCUUAUGGAACGGCUUGUUAUAGGAAGAAUCCACAGCACAAGCUAGAAUACAAGCACAGUGCACCUCCAGUAAGUGAAAGAGGAACCCGACAACGAACUUCAAAGAAUGGGGUCAUAACAGGAUGAAAGGAAUCCGGUAUUUCAUCUACAACUAGUUAAGGUUGCCCUGUAAAGAUUGAUUGCUCUUGAAACAUUGAGAUACUUAAAGGUCAAUGCAAUGCCGAAGGAAUAACUUUCAGGUGAUAUCUGUUCACGUGCUGAUGAGCUUUUCUUAUACUUAGUAUGAGGUAUUGAUGUUCCAGGUAAGAUACCGGCUUGUUAGGACUAAAGCAUAGAAGAAGGUUAAUGCCUUUGAGUUGGGGGCAGCUUUCACUGUAAACUACGUAUGUAUCCUUCUUACUUUAGUUUCUAGUCAUCAGUGAGGAAUAUGUAGGAGCACAGGCAAGCUGUAGUCUCUCUUGAUGAUGUAAAUUGUAAUACUGUGUAUGAAUACCUCCUCUAUUUACCAGUGGCACACCUUGCUUGCUUUGCUGCUGCUAACAACAUUAACUUGUAUGUUGGGGGUGCAUAGACUCCAGUUUUAAAUAUCCUUUAGGUCUGUUUUGAGGCUUCUUCUGUGUGUCAGCUUCCAAAUGCAAAGCUUCCUAUUCUUUCUAAAACAAUCUAGAAGUAAGCUCUAAAGAGCAGUCUGAAAGUCUGAUGAUGUGCCAUCUUCGCUUUCACUGGCCUGAACAAGGCACGAGGACAUGGAUCUGCAUCUCAAGUGUAAGUGGGAACUGGCUUGUCUGUCUUGAGGUCACCAAGGGUGGCUGAGCAUUUCCUAAAGAAAUCCUCAAAAUAGAGAUCUGCCUUCUACAGAAAAUAAGUAAAAGUGCGAAUAGUUGUAGGUAAGUUUUCUAGGCCAAGUACUUUGGCCUCUAUUUCUGUUGUGGGUGGAUGCAAGAGGUUGCUUUUAUACUUCUGCUGAGAAAUUUCUUUCCAGUUCCACUUCCUUAUCAUAUAUGUGUGCACUUUUGCUAUUGCUGAAUGCUUGGUAUUGUUGCAUGUGUGCACUAGCAUAGUCUGAGGCAUAUGCAUUGCCGGCCUGUUUUGCUGCAUCCUGUGAUGCGAGUACCAGCCCUAUCUUGGUCACUGCUCCAUUGUAGAAAUGCGUAUUACGCUGUGGUGAGAAUUGCUAGCAGCAUUGUAAGAGCAGUGAGUGGUUAAGAUUUUAUAAUGAAGCAAGGUGGAAUGUGUGCAUAUCUAAAGUCCUUAUUCUAAAUCUAAAUCUUGAAGGCUUUGAAGUGUAGCUGUGCCCUUCAUGAGAACCCCUUCCUUACCUGAAGUGGAUCUUGUGUGUACAGCUCAUGGCACAUGGUCAGCCAAGUGUGACUAUGGAUGGAAAAGUGCUUCUCUUGUAAGCGUGUAAAACUUUAACAUGGAAGUGAAAUUCUAUUUGUCAAAUUCAAUUCCUCUUGCUAAGUAAAAAUCAGAGAAGAAUUGAUAUUCCAUGCGCAGGGGAAAGAAGGGAAUUCAUUAAUUGAAGUGCUAUUCAUAUUUGCUGUUUGGUUUUUUUUGGUUUGUUUUUUUUUUAAUGUCGGCUGUCUUGCUUAGCUGUCUUGAGGGCAAAGGUUGUAAAAGGUUGUGCUCAGCACGUUCACAUCUGAGGCAGUUGUACCGAGCUGUGCAAGGUGACACAGACAGUCAGGGCUCCAUUAACCUUUAUUUCAUGCUGUUUGGCACAACUGCACUGUUAAGCGCAGCAGGAUUAAUUUCCAUACAAGUGUAUUUAAACUCCACUGGCCAAGAAAAGAAGGGUACCAUCUACGUGAUGUUUGACAUGUUCAGUUCUUAACAUUUUUAGUCUAAUUCCUACUAGAGAGGUUGUAAAUUUCCUGUAGAGAAUGUGCUCUAUGUUCUGAGAAAUAAUCUAAGGCUAAUUACCGGAGGAAUAAUUGUAAGGUUGGAGUUAUGCUGUUAAAUUGUCAUUACUGAAUGACCUCACUACAUUGUUGUUACUUAGAUGAAUGACCUGCUGUGGCUAGGAACUGUGCAGGAUUCUCCUACAUGCUUCUCUGUAGGUUUUCUAGAAAGCUAAUCAGCUUACUUCCAAACAUAACUCUUUGAAAGAGGUGGUCAGCAAGCUUUUUCUCCCCACACAGAGCAGAUACUUUCAGAGAAAGUUUCAAGGUCAUCUUGAUAAAUAUGGUACUAGGGAACGGCAGAAUUGAGCUUAAUGAGCAGCUUUAGGGGCAGUGGGGAUGGAUUAAGCUGUAGUGGGAAGACAUGGAAGGAAGCGCAUAAUUCGCUGCUGAAAUCUAAAAGCAUUAAUGUACGGGGAGGAAAAAACAUAGUAUGCUCCUCCUACAUUUGUAGGAAAAAUAAAUUAAAAAAAAAAAAAAGAUAUAUAGUUUGAUGGAAGUAAUCAGUAUUUUUCCAGAAUUCCUACUGCUGUUGUAAAAUACCACCCACAGUGUUGUGAAAGUGAAGAGCUUUUCUUUGCUAAGCAGGUUUUGGGCUUAUUAUUCUUAUAAGCUGAGAAGAGGGAUUUUGUUCUUGUAUUUAGCAUCUUUGUUUUGACCUCUCCCCUCCAAGACAUAAUUAAUUCUGCAGGACCAUAGCCUGUGAUUCUUAUAAGAAAUUCUGCCGGUAAACAUGGAUAUGAUUAAGUUCCUCUAAAGUCUGAUAAACAAUAAACUGGCAAGCAUAAUAGUGGAUUACAGCUCACAUUGGCAGUUAGCAUUUUCAGGAUUUUCUGCUCGAUGGCGCACAGUUGGUCCUUCAAAGAAUAUCGAUUGCUAGCUGUGGGAUAGUUCUCAGUUAUUGGCUGUGUCACAUGUGGCUGACAUUAUUCUAGGAGGUCAUUCAGUGCCUCUGUAACACAAUUCACCCAUAAAAUUGUGUAUCUUUUAAAAACUUGGCUAAUGCUGUAAAUGCUUGUGAAUACCUUGGGUAAGAGUUGCUAUGGAGUAUAAAAUGUUAAUCAGACCGUAAGAUAAUUCUGGAAUAGUAAUGUUCCCACUAGUAGAAAAAUGCAACUGAUAGAGAAUGUGGUGUGACUACAUAAGGUACUGGUAUUCUCGUUUAUUCACCAACAUGCGUAGCUUGAAUGCCUGGGGCUGUGACCUGAGGGUACAAGAGAUUGCUAAGAAAUGCUUAUGCUUAAUAUAAACAUUGAUGAUUUGGGCUGGGGUCUGUAGCUGAGGGAAAAAAAAAAAUACAUGUUUAUAGUUUCAUAUGAAAGAUGACAAGAAUUGCUCAAUAGAUAAUUUACCUGUACGAGAUCAUUGACAGGUUAUCUCUAGAUGAGAUAAGAAUGCAAAAUUGGAGGCUGGGAAGAAGAGGGAUGAACAUGGUUUUACUCAGAGGAAUGACUUAAGGGCAGAAUAACACAAUUGGAAUAUUAACAGACUGUAGCUAGUGGCUAGUUAGGAACUGUGGACAUGUAGGAAAAAAGGGAGACAAUGCAAGCUUGUAGAGCAAGGGUUACACACAUCUGCCAAAAGCAGGAAGCAGUGGAAAUAAACUUGUUGAAGGUUCGCAGCUUCAUACAGAUACUACCAAGUCAGAUAUAUAAGGCUUCUUCAAAUAGAAUUAUCCUGCCUCUGGGACUUGGUUUAAAUGUGCUAACAUAUUUGAGUGAUUAAAAGAAUACUGCAAAAUAAGCUGUGUAACAAAGUUUAGGAACAUGCUGAGAACAGCAUCCAUUUCUUGUAAAUAGAGGUUUCUGAGUCUUUGAUUCCUUCCAGUACAGAGUAUUGUGAAGUACUAUGAAGGCAGAGAGCAAUUUGAUCCUGUAAUGUAAGUUGUGAAGAAGAUGGAUGGACAGCAGAUUAUAAAGCAGUGUGAUAGGAUAGACUGAACUGGGAAACAGG